AUGAGGAAGGUGAGGCUCAGAGUUUCAGGAGAGGCUGAAGGCCACAUCGUGAGAGACAGAGCUGGGUCCUGAUGAGGUCUGACUCUGAAGCCCAGGCCAGUGCAAUGAGGGGGCUCAAUGCCCAGGUUUUGGCCUCCAGGGUGGGGUGAAGGUGGGGAUAGAGUGUCACAAGCACAGUGGCUGCAAGGAAGAGAAGGUUGGAGCACUAUCAUUUGAGGUAGGACCAUGGGCUCAGUCCCCCAGGGGACCAUGUGUAGGAGUCAGCAGCUUUGAAUCUGCCGCCUCCCUGUUGAGUGGCCUGUCCGUCUCCCUUCCUCCAUCUCCCUUCUCUCUGCCUCUCAUUCUCCACGUGCACCCUAGAGGCUUGUG
rnacentral:lncRNA from 10 species